UACGGGGGGGGUAAGCGUUGUUCGGAAUUACUGGGCGUAAAGGGCUCGUAGGCGGCCAACUAAGUCAGACGUGAAAUCCCCAGGCUCAACUUGGGAACUGCGUCUGAUACUGGAUGGCUUGAAUUCGGGAGAGGGAUGCAGAAUUCCAGGUGUAGCGGUGAAAUGCGUAGAUAUCUGGAGGAAUACCGGUGGCGAAGGCGGCAUCCUGGACCGAGAUUGACACUGAUGAGCGAAAGCUAGGGGAGCAAACGGG
rnacentral:rRNA from 1 species